UACGUAGGGUGCAAGCGUUAAUCGGAAUUACUGGGCGUAAAGCGUGCGCAGGCGGUCCGUUAAGACAGAUGUGAAAUCCCCGGGCUUAACCCUGGGAACUGCAUUUGUGACUGGCGGACUCGAGUAUGGCAGAGGGGGGUAGAAUUCCACGUGUAGCAGUGAAAUGCGUAGAGAUGUGGAGGAAUACCGAUGGCGAAGGCAGCCCCCUGGGCCCAAUACUGACGCUCAUGC
rnacentral:rRNA from 1 species